rnacentral:rRNA from 1 species
GUAGAGGCUCUUCGGAGCCUUGAGAGUGGCGGACGGGUGAGUAACACGUAGGUGAUCUGCCCUUGAGUUGGGGAUAGCCCAUGGAAACAUGGGGUAAUACCGAAUACGGUGGGUUUGCUGUGGCAGACCCAAGAAAGGCGCUUCGGCGCCGCUCGAGGAUGAGCCUGCGGCUGAUUAGCUAGUUGGUAGGGUAAAGGCCUACCAAGGCGACGAUCAGUAGCCGGCCUGAGAGGGUGAACGGCCACACUGGGACUGAGAUACGGCCCAGACUCCUACGGGAGGCAGCAGCUAAGAAUCUUCUGCAAUGGGGGAAACCCUGACAGAGCGACGCCGCGUGGGUGAAGAAGGCCGGAAGGUUGUAAAGCCCUUUUCUAUCUGAGGAAUAAUCAUCGGAGGCAAUGCCGGUGAGAUGACGGUAGGGUAGGAAUAAGCCCCGGCCAAUUACGUGCCAGCAGCCGCGGUAACACGUAUGGGGCGAGCGUUGUUCGGAAUCAUUGGGCGUAAAGGGCGCGUAGGCGGUUAUACAAGCUUGGUGUGAAACCCCGCAGCUCAACUGCGGAUCCGCGCUGAGAACUGUAUGACUAGAGUUCAAGAGGGGAAGCUGGAAUUCCUGGUGUAGGGGUGAAAUCUGUAGAUAUCAGGAAGAACAUCGGUGGCGAAGGCGAGCUUCUGGCUAUGAACUGACGCUGAGGCGC